rnacentral:rRNA from 1 species
GACGAACGCUGGCGGCGUGCUUAACACAUGCAAGUCGAACGGAGAGGCCCUGCUUUUGUGGGGUGCUCGAGUGGCGAAAGGGUGAGUAACACGUGAGUAACCUGCCCUUGACUUUGGGAUAACUUCAGGAAACUGGGGCUAAUACCGGAUAGGAGCUCCUGCUGCAUGGUGGGGGUUGGAAAGUUUCGGCGGUUGGGGAUGGACUCGGGUCGUAUCAGCUUGUUGGUGGGGUAGUGGCUUACCAAGGCUUUGACGGGUAGCCGGCCUGAGAGGGUGACCGGCCACAUUGGGACUGAGAUACGGCCCAGACUCCUACGGGAGGCAGCAGUGGGGAAUAUUGCACAAUGGGCGGAAGCCUGAUGCAGCAACGCCGCGUGCGGGAGGACGGCCUUCGGGUUGUAAACCGCUUUCGCCUGUGACGAAGCGUGAGUGACGGUAAUGGGUAAAGAAGCACCGGCUAACUACGUG